UACCACAAUUUCUUAAUUCUUAUCAUCAAAAAUGUUCAAUUAAUUGAUUCAUUUCAAAUCUCCGAAGCAAUUUUUAUGAUUUUGUUUUUCAAAAACAGUUUGUGAAUAAAAAAAUUGAUUUGUUCUAGAUCGUGGAACUUUUGAUAGUAAAAAUUUCCAACAUCUUCGCCGGAAAUGCUUUGCAAUGGCAAAAAAUUGUGAUCAAACUUCCAAGUGUUCAAUUAAUUUCAAGUACACUGCUGAAUCUGAAAGCAGAGCUACAGUUCUUUAUAAUUCACUGAGAGUUGAUUCAGAACCAGGGAACGUAAUUCGAAAAUUGAGCGUUAACGGAAAUGUUUUAUCAAUAGAUCUCGAAUCAGCAAACGUCAGCAAUUUGCGAGCUAGUGUUAAUGGAAUUUUGGAAAACAUUAAAACUCUCACCGAUGUCAUUGCUGCGUUUGAAAUCACUAAGGAGUAUAGUUACGAUUAUUUGUGAUACAAUAUUAUAAUUAUGAC